GGUUAAGCGACUAAGCGUACACGGUGGAUGCCCUGGCAGUCAGAGGCGAUGAAGGGCGUGCUAAUCUGCGAUAAGCGCCGGUAAGGUGAUAUGAACCGUUAUAACCGGCGAUACCCGAAUGGGGAAACCCAGUGUGAUUCGUCACACUAUCAUUAACUGAAUCCAUAGGUUAAUGAGGCGAACCGGGGGAACUGAAACAUCUAAGUACCCCGAGGAAAAGAAAUCAACCGAGAUUCCCCCAGUAGCGGCGAGCGAACGGGGAGGAGCCCAGAGCCUGAAUCAGCAUGUGUGUUAGUGGAAGCGUCUGGAAAGGCGCGCGAUACAGGGUGACAGCCCCGUACACAAAAGCGCAUGUGCUGUGAGCUCGAUGAGUAGGGCGGGACACGUGGUAUCCUGUCUGAAUAUGGGGGGACCAUCCUCCAAGGCUAAAUACUCCUGACUGACCGAUAGUGAACCAGUACCGUGAGGGAAAGGCGAAAAGAACCCCGGCGAGGGGAGUGAAAAAGAACCUGAAACCGUGUACGUACAAGCAGUGGGAGCACCCUUUGGGUGUGACUGCGUACCUUUUGUAUAAUGGGUCAGCGACUUAUAUUCUGUAGCAAGGUUAACCGAAUAGGGGAGCCGGAGGGAAACCGAGUCUUAACCGGGCGUUAAGUUGCAGGGUAUAGACCCGAAACCCGGUGAUCUAGCCAUGGGCAGGUUGAAGGUUGGGUAACACUAACUGGAGGACCGAACCGACUAAUGUUGAAAAAUUAGCGGAUGACCUGUGGCUGGGGGUGAAAGGCCAAUCAAACCGGGAGAUAGCUGGUUCUCCCCGAAAGCUAUUUAGGUAGCGCCUCGUGAAUUCAUCUCCGGGGGUAGAGCACUGUUUCGGCUAGGGGGCCAUCCCGGCUUACCAACCCGAUGCAAACUGCGAAUACCGGAGAAUGUUAUCACGGGAGACACACGGCGGGUGCUAACGUCCGUCGUGAAGAGGGAAACAACCCAGACCGCCAGCUAAGGUCCCAAAGUCAUGGUUAAGUGGGAAACGAUGUGGGAAGGCCCAGACAGCCAGGAUGUUGGCUUAGAAGCAGCCAUCAUUUAAAGAAAGCGUAAUAGCUCACUGGUCGAGUCGGCCUGCGCGGAAGAUGUAACGGGGCUAAACCAUGCACCGAAGCUGCGGCAGCGACACUGUGUGUUGUUGGGUAGGGGAGCGUUCUGUAAGCCUGCGAAGGUGGCCUGUGAGGGUUGCUGGAGGUAUCAGAAGUGCGAAUGCUGACAUAAGUAACGAUAAAGCGGGUGAAAAGCCCGCUCGCCGGAAGACCAAGGGUUCCUGUCCAACGUUAAUCGGGGCAGGGUGAGUCGACCCCUAAGGCGAGGCCGAAAGGCGUAGUCGAUGGGAAACGGGUUAAUAUUCCCGUACUUGGUGUUACUGCGAAGGGGGGACGGAGAAGGCUAUGUUGGCCGGGCGACGGUUGUCCCGGUUUAAGCGUGUAGGUGUGUGUUCCAGGUAAAUCCGGUUCACUUUAACACUGAGGCGUGACGACGAGGCACUACGGUGCUGAAGCAACAAAUGCCCUGCUUCCAGGAAAAGCCUCUAAGCAUCAGGUAACAUCAAAUCGUACCCCAAACCGACACAGGUGGUCAGGUAGAGAAUACCAAGGCGCUUGAGAGAACUCGGGUGAAGGAACUAGGCAAAAUGGUGCCGUAACUUCGGGAGAAGGCACGCUGACACGUAGGUGAAGUGAUUUACUCAUGGAGCUGAAGUCAGUCGAAGAUACCAGCUGGCUGCAACUGUUUAUUAAAAACACAGCACUGUGCAAACACGAAAGUGGACGUAUACGGUGUGACGCCUGCCCGGUGCCGGAAGGUUAAUUGAUGGGGUCAGCGCAAGCGAAGCUCCUGAUCGAAGCCCCGGUAAACGGCGGCCGUAACUAUAACGGUCCUAAGGUAGCGAAAUUCCUUGUCGGGUAAGUUCCGACCUGCACGAAUGGCGUAAUGAUGGCCAGGCUGUCUCCACCCGAGACUCAGUGAAAUUGAACUCGCUGUGAAGAUGCAGUGUACCCGCGGCAAGACGGAAAGACCCCGUGAACCUUUACUAUAGCUUGACACUGAACAUUGAGCCUUGAUGUGUAGGAUAGGUGGGAGGCUUUGAAGUGUGGACGCCAGUCUGCAUGGAGCCGACCUUGAAAUACCACCCUUUAAUGUUUGAUGUUCUAACGUGGACCCGUUACCCGGGUUGCGGACAGUGUCUGGUGGGUAGUUUGACUGGGGCGGUCUCCUCCUAAAGAGUAACGGAGGAGCACGAAGGUUGGCUAAUCCUGGUCGGACAUCAGGAGGUUAGUGCAAUGGCAUAAGCCAGCUUGACUGCGAGCGUGACGGCGCGAGCAGGUGCGAAAGCAGGUCAUAGUGAUCCGGUGGUUCUGAAUGGAAGGGCCAUCGCUCAACGGAUAAAAGGUACUCCGGGGAUAACAGGCUGAUACCGCCCAAGAGUUCAUAUCGACGGCGGUGUUUGGCACCUCGAUGUCGGCUCAUCACAUCCUGGGGCUGAAGUAGGUCCCAAGGGUAUGGCUGUUCGCCAUUUAAAGUGGUACGCGAGCUGGGUUUAGAACGUCGUGAGACAGUUCGGUCCCUAUCUGCCGUGGGCGCUGGAGAACUGAGGGGGGCUGCUCCUAGUACGAGAGGACCGGAGUGGACGCAUCACUGGUGUUCGGGUUGUCAUGCCAAUGGCACUGCCCGGUAGCUAAAUGCGGAAGAGAUAAGUGCUGAAAGCAUCUAAGCACGAAACUUGCCCCGA
rnacentral:rRNA from 1 species